rnacentral:rRNA from 1 species
UACGAAGGGGGCUAGCGUUGUUCGGAAUUACUGGGCGUAAAGGGCGCGUAGGCGGCUCUGAUCGUCGGAUGUGAAAGGCCUGGGCUCAACCUGGGAAUGGCAUCCGAUACGGCGGGGCUGGAGUGUGGGAGAGGUUGGUGGAAUUCCCAGUGUAGAGGUGAAAUUCGUAGAUAUCGGGAGGAACACCGGUGGCGAAGGCGGCGACCUGGGACAAUACUGACGCUGAGGUGCGAAAGCGUGGGGAGCAAACAGG